rnacentral:rRNA from 1 species
UCUAUCGAUUCACCUGUUCUUAACACAAUACAAUACAACACAAUAGAUCUAUGCAGGGCUGUGCCCGGUCAGUAUCUGGAUGGGAAACCACAUGGGAAACUAGGUUGUUGCUGGAA